AGUGAACGCUGGCGGUAGGCCUAACACAUGCAAGUCGAACGGCAGCACAGUAAGAGCUUGCUCUUACGGGUGGCGAGUGGCGGACGGGUGAGGAAUACAUCGGAAUCUACUUUUUCGUGGGGGAUAACGUAGGGAAACUUACGCUAAUACCGCAUACGACCUACGGGUGAAAGCAGUGGAUCUUCGGACCUUUCGCGAUUGAAUGAGCCGAUGUCGGAUUAGCUAGUUGGCGGGGUAAAGGCCCACCAAGGCGACGAUCCGUAGCUGGUCUGAGAGGAUGGUCAGCCACACUGGAACUGAGACACGGUCCAGACUCCUACGGGAGGCAGCAGUGGGGAAUAUUGGACAAUGGGCGGAAGCCUGAGCCAGCCAGGCCGCGUGGGUGAAGAAGGCCUUCGGGUUGUAAAGCCCUUUUGUUGGGAAAGAAAAGCAGCAGGUUAAUACCCCGCUGUUCUGACGGUACCCAAAGAAUAAGCAACGGCUAACUUCGUG
rnacentral:rRNA from 1 species